rnacentral:rRNA from 1 species
UCUUGGUCCAUUUAGAGGAAGUAAAAGUCGUAACAAGGUUUCCGUAGGUGAACCUGCGGAAGGAUCAUUACAGAAAGUAAACGCGGAUCAAACCGCGAACUUCUAAACCUUUGACGAUCGACUCAUGUUGCCUCGGCGGGUGCUCCCGCCAGAGGAUACAUCAAAACUCAUGUUUUAACGGUGUUGUCUGAGCUACAAGCAACGAAUCAAAACUUUCAACAACGGAUCUCUUGGUUCUGGCAUCGAUGAAGAACGCAGCGAAAUGCGAUAAGUAGUGUGAAUUGCAGAAUUCAGUGAAUCAUCGAAUCUUUGAACGCACAUUGCGCCCCUUGGUAUCCCGAGGGGCAUGCCUGUUCGAGCGUCAUUUCACCACUCAAGCCUGGCUUGGUGUUGGGCGACGUCCCCUUUGGGGACGCGCUUCGAAACGCUCGGCGGCGUGGCAUCGGCUUUAAGCGUAGCAGAAUCUUUCGCUUUGAAAGUCGGGGCCCCGUCUGCCGGAAGACCUACUCGCAAGGUUGACCUCGGAUCAGGUAGGGAUACCCGCUGAACUUAAGCAUAUCAAUA